rnacentral:rRNA from 1 species
GACGAACGCUGGCGGCGUGCUUAACACAUGCAAGUCGAACGGUGAAGCGCCUUCCUUUUUGGUGGGUGUGGAUGAGUGGCGAACGGGUGAGUAACACGUGAGUAACCUGCCCCCUUCUUUUGGAUAACCGCAUGAAAGUGUGGCUAAUACGGGAUAUUCUGGGUCUGUCGCAUGAUGGGUCUGGGAAAGAUAUUGUUUCGGUGGGGGAUGGGCUCGCGGCCUAUCAGCUUGUUGGUGGGGUGAUGGCCUACCAAGGCGGUGACGGGUAGCCGGCCUGAGAGGGUGGACGGUCACACUGGGACUGAGACACGGCCCAGACUCCUACGGGAGGCAGCAGUGGGGAAUAUUGCACAAUGGGCGCAAGCCUGAUGCAGCGACGCCGCGUGAGGGAUGGAGGCCUUCGGGUUGUGAACCUCUUUCGCCAGUGAAGCAGGCCUGCCUCGUUUGUGGGUGGGUUGACGGUAGCUGGAUAAGAAGCGCCGGCUAACUACGUG